rnacentral:Y_RNA from 1 species
GGCUGGUCCAAUGGCACUGGGUUAUCAGAACUUAUUAACAUUAGUGUCACUAAAGUUGGUAUUCAACCCCCCACUGCUAAAUUUGACUGGCUUAAA